AAGUUAGUACGAGAUUGCGAUAGUAGAUACACACAAAGUUAGUAUGAGAUUGCGCUUCCACUUGUGGGUUUUCCCUUAUGGGGUCACACCUCUCGCCUAUCCAGGUGCAUUUUGUACACCCUUUUCGAGAACUCGUAUAGAGCCCUGCAUCGCCGCAGUUCUUUUAUGCCAACAUAGUCUCCCUUAUCGAGCUGCCUAGAGGUUGGGUCUUACAAAGCAGAGGCAGUCGUCCAUAGAUUUGUUGACUUAAGUUAGUAUGAGAUUACGUACUUAUCAGAUUAGGUUUUUGCUUUCUCUUGGUUCUCCCUUUAACACCACAUUCCAAAAAGAUAGAUCUACUACCAAUAUCCUAAAACAAGGCAACCAAAGAAUUGGAAUAUUAUUAUGCUAUCGAAAUAGAAGAUGCUAUGAGGAUCUUAUGACA
rnacentral:lncRNA from 1 species